AUUGAACGCUGGCGGCGUGCCUAACACAUGCAAGUCGAGCGGUAACGCGGGAGCAAUCCUGGCGACGAGCGGCGAACGGGUGAGUAACGCUUCGGAAUCUGCCCAGUAGUGGGGAAUAACUAACCGAAAGGUUAGCUAAUGCCGCAUACGAUCUACGGAUGAAAGCGGGGGAUCGCAAGACCUCGCGCUAUUGGAUGAGCCGAAGUCGGAUUAGCUAGGUGGUAGGGUAACGGCCUACCAAGGCGACAAUCCGUAGCUGGUCUGAGAGGACGACCGGCCACACUGGGACUGGGACACGGCCCAGACUCCUACGGGAGGCAGCAGUGGGGAAUAUUGGACAAUGGGGGAAACCCUGAUCCAGCGACGCCGCGUGUGUGAAGAAGGCCUGCGGGUUGUAAAGCACUUUUAGUGGGGAUGAAAAGCUCAGGGCUAAUACCUCUGGGUCUUGACCUAACCCAAAGAAAAAGCACCGGCUAACUCUGUGCCAGCCGCCGCCGUAAAAC
rnacentral:rRNA from 1 species